AUUGAACGCUGGCGGCAGGCCUAACACAUGCAAGUCGAACGGUAACAGGAAGACGCUUGCUUCUUUGCUGACGAGUGGCGGGCGGGUGAGUAAUGUCUGGGAAACUGCCUGAUGGAGGGGGAUAACUACUGGAAACGGUAGCUAAUACCGCAUAACGUCGCAAGCCCAAAGAGGGGGACCUUCGGGCCUCUUGCCAUCGGAUGUGCCCAGAUGGGAUGAGCUAGUAGGUGGGGUAACGGCUCACCUAGGCGACGAUCCCGAGCUGGUCUGAGAGGAGGACCAGCCACCCUGGAACGGAGACACGGUCCAGAGGCCUGCGGGAGGCAGCAGAGGGGAAUAUUGCACAGUGGGGGCAAGCCUGAUGCAGCCAUGCCGCGUGUAUGACGGAGGCGUUCGGGUUGUGAAGUACUUUCAGCGGGGAGGAAGGGAGUACAGUUAAUACCUUGGGUCAUUGACGUUACCCGCUGAAGAAGCACCGGCUAACUCCGUG
rnacentral:rRNA from 1 species